GUAACAGGCACUGGAGGACCGAACCCACUGUCUUUGAAAAGCCAGGGGAUGACUUGUGGAUAGGGGUGAAAGGCUAAUCAAACUCGGUGAUAGCUGGUUCUCCCCGAAAGCUAUUUAGGUAGCGCCUCGGACGAAUACCACAGGGGGUAGAGCACUGUUUCGGCUAGGGGGUCAUCCCGACUUACCAACCCAUUGCAAACUCCGAAUACCGUAAAGUAAUAUCCGGGAGACACACGGCGGGUGCUAACGUCCGUCGUGAAGAGGGAAACAACCCAGACCGCCAGCUAAGGUCCCAAAGUCAUAGUUAAGUGGGAAACGAUGUGGAAAGGCCC
rnacentral:rRNA from 1 species